UCUUCAUUUCACAUGCUCUCUCACCGGUCAGAGAGGCGAGAGAGUGUGCGAAAUGAAGAGA
rfam:Pristionchus pacificus strain PS312 contig1900, whole genome shotgun sequence.